CUGAACAAACCUCAUGUAGAUAGUAUGAAAUAUACUAAGUCACUUUGGGACCAAAUAUUCCCCCUGUGAUCGGAACUUUGAGUUGAUCUAGAUUGUUGAUUCUGUCAAGGGAGCAUAAAAAUCAUGAGGCCUUCCCUCUCUCCCUGCUUAACCACCAAGGUAGAAGCAAGUGACUCUCCACUGUUAUAUGACCUUCAUAUUAUUCUACUCAGCCAACAGAUAUUUAUUAACAGGUUCUGGAGCCAGCCUGCCUGAGUGUGAAUCCCAACACACCACGUGUACCAGCCAUUGACCUCGGCAAUACAAUCAACCUACAACGUCUCUUCAGAUACACUGGUGAGAUGAAAAUGUUACUGUUCUUAGGACAAUAAAUACUUCAGCAGGAAAAAAAA